CCCUUAGAUGUUCUGGGCCGCACGCGUGCUACACUGACCGGCGCAACAAGCUUCUUUCCUUGGCUCGAUAGGCCUGGGUAAUCUUUGAACGCCGGUCGUGAUGGGGAUAGAUCCUUGCAAUUUUUGAUCUUCAACGAGGAAUUCCUAGUAAAUGCGAGUCAUCAUCUCGCGUUGAUUACGUCCCUGCCCUUUGUACACACCGCCCGUCGCACCUACCGAUUGAAUGGUCCGGUGAAGCCUCGGGAUUGCGAAUGCUUCGUGCGGACGCGAGAACUUGGCUAAACCUUACCAUUUAGAGGAAGGUGAAGUCGUAACA
rnacentral:rRNA from 1 species